GACGAACGCUGGCGGCGUGCCUAAUACAUGCAAGUAGAACGCUGAAGGAGGAGCUUGCUCUUCUGGAUGAGUUGCGAACGGGUGAGUAACGCGUAGGUAACCUGCCUGGUAGCGGGGGAUAACUAUUGGAAACGAUAGCUAAUACCGCAUAAGAGUAGAUGUUGCAUGACAUUUGCUUAAAAGGUGCAAUUGCAUCACUACCAGAUGGACCUGCGUUGCAUUAGCUAGUUGGUGGGGUAACGGCUCACCAAGGCGACGAUACAUAGCCGACCUGAGAGGGUGAUCGGCCACACUGGGACUGAGACACGGCCCAGACUCCUACGGGAGGCAGCAGUAGGGAAUCUUCGGCAAUGGACGGAAGUCUGACCGAGCAACGCCGCGUGAGUGAAGAAGGUUUUCGGAUCGUAAAGCUCUGUUGUAAGAGAAGAACGAGUGUGAGAGUGGAAAGUUCACACUGUGACGGUAUCUUACCAGAAAGGGACGGCUAACUACGUG
rnacentral:rRNA from 1 species